AUUAUGAGUAAUUCUACUUAUACACUAGUUUAAUUCCUUACACCUUCACAAUUUAAUUUUUUUAUAUUAUUUUUUAUAAUUCCUUUAUUACCUUCAUCCUUAAUCUUCAUCCUUCUCCUUACAUCAAAACCUAAAAAAACCCCUAACCUCAACGUUAAUUCUCUCCCACCAUCACCUCCAACCAAUAUCUUUACCAUUGUAACCCUUUGCCGCCGCAGCUGCAACCGCAACCACAACCACCACUCACUGUCGCAACCCUUUGCUGCCACAGCCUUCUCAUCGUCGCAACCAUUAUCCCUUUCUUCAACCUUUCAGAUCUGUGUUUUCCACCAUCGCAAUCCACCACCAUCGCAACGUCUUCUCUGCUCUAAUUCUUGUAAAUCUUAGCUUUAUAACCCCAAUCUUGAUCUGGGUAUUUGUUAUUUUGAUACAUAGAAGCUUUAAAUCAUUUGGGUAUGUACCAAUCAGAAUGAUGAGGAAGAGAGAAAGGGAAAACCCUUGUACAGUUUGUGGACACUACCACAAGUACAAAGAGGGCGCGGUUUGUGGGAUUUGCGGCUACCACAUACCGACAGUGUUGAAGAAAACUUCACUACAAGUCAGUGUUUUUCCGUCAAAGAUCGUGCCGGAGUUUCUUUAUCUGGGAAGCUAUGACAAUGCAUCGAGUGUCCCUAUGCACCGAUUGGUAUCUCCAAAUAACCAAAUAGCCAGCAACGACGCGUGAGAUACGACGUCGACCAUGCUUCUUCGUUGAAGAUUGAAUGUGGGAAUGAAUGGCUUUAAUGAGUAGAAGGGGAUUUUUUUUUCUUCUCAAAUUCAAAUGUUACGAUAUGAUAUUCGAAAUCAAAAUCACGUUUACAAUUUUGGUUUCAAACGGUGGAUAUGAUUUCAAAAUAUUGUGGAUGUUGAUACGAAAACUCGUUUUGGCAAUGCGUUGAAUAUGGCCCAAAAAAUCCUUAGUAAGAUUAGAAUAAA